rnacentral:rRNA from 1 species
GAUCAAGUGUCUUAAGG